rnacentral:lncRNA from 13 species
AUUUAUCUUAUUUAAGAUACAUUUACAUAUAAUUUAUCUUAUCUUCAUCUAGAUAAUUUUGUUAUGUAAGCACAACACUAGUUUUAUCUGAUUUUCUUUUAAAAUAUAUUGAUAUGCACAAAACAACCAUAUAGCUUGUUAAAUUUUUGUCUAUAUUAUUUAUUUCUUAUUUAUUUUUUAUUUUUGUCACCAAAUGUUGCUUACAUUAAGUAAAAAUGUAAUUGAUAAAGCACGAUUUAGGUAAUCGAUAUGCAUUCAUCAACUCUUUUUUACAUAUAAAUUAUUGGUUUUUAAAGAUAUUCUAAAUUCUAAAUUCUUUGAUCGAUUAUUCAUUAUCUAUCUGCUGUAAAAAGAAAGCAAUAAUACAAUAUAUAACAACAAGAUAUACAUAAAGCCAGCAGUAUCAUUAAACAAUUUUACGAUUGCAAGAUCUGAAUACUUUCUAUUAAACAAGUAUCCACUGUAAUUUUCUCUCCUUUUAUUAUUAUCAACUAAAUUGAAUAGCCUUUUUUUAUUACACUAAAUCAUGAUUCAUGUAAAAAAAAUGAAAUUAUAUUUAUUUGUAUCUUUCCAUUUUUCUUCAAUGAUAAAGAAAUUUCAGUUAAAUUUACUUAGGCAUCAGAAAAUUGUAUUUAAUGAAUGAAAUUGAAAUAGUUGGUCAUGCUAUAUAUAAGAAAUUAGUAGAGUCUGACCGAAAAUUUGGUUUUGGUUGUGAUCAUUUUCGACUAAAAGUUGAAGUUUUGAUUAAAUUUCGGUUUUGAGCGAAAUUGGAAUUUCGACAGAACUGAACUAAUUAUAAUUUGCAAUAACUUGUAAUACUGAACGGAAUAAAACAUAUAGUACGAAAAAACAUUGAAAAUUUAUAUAGUUAAUAUUACUGAUAUGAGCUUUCGCGGUUGUUAAGGUGUGAGAUAAUAAAAAUAGUGACAAAUAUUUUUCAAAUUAUUUUAAAAAUAUAAUUAAUUAAUAACAUUUUUCAGUCAGUUUACAAACGUUUCGAUCCUUGAUGUGGGGGUUCUCUUUAAUAACAAAUAUUUAUGCCCGAAUCAGUUUCACAGUACUAUUUUAGUUCCAAAUAACCAUAAGAGAAAACUCAUAUCUGCAAUUGAUUUUAUAAUUAAUAAAUCUAUUUUUAACGCUACAAUUACUCUUUAUUUUAUUAACUUAAAAUUUAUUUUGUUUGGAAUGUUUACUAUUCAGCGAGAUUUUCCAAAAACUUGUUUAAAGAUUUUUCUUUUAAUUUUAUUAUUAUUGAGAUAAUGUGAUUAUGAUACUGCAAAUAAUGUAUAACACAUAGAUUGUGAUAAUAGAAUUGUAAUAUUAGAAUAGUGAUAAUGUUUGUAUAAUUAUUGUUUCAGAUUCCAAUAAAAGUUUUUGGUUUCGGGUUCGACCGAAAUUGACACAUAACCAAAUAUUUGUUUUCAAUUGAAAUUAUAAUAAAAAAAAAACGAUUGUUUCGGUCGGACUCUAGAAAUUAGUCUUAUCCGUCUUCAUAGACAAUUAAUUAGCAGAAGAGAUUACAUAUAUGUACGAUUAUACAAAUAGCCACUAUUAUUGUACAAAUAAUGCCUGAUGAUUGUAUGGAUAAUUAUUAAAGUGCGUUACAAUUUUCUCUUCGUUUAUCAUAAAUUUCAUUUGAAUAUUUUUUUCGUAGUGUUUCAAAAGCAAACCCCGUGUCUGAUUAUAUGAAUCCUGCAAUAAGACAAAGAUAGUGUGAACAUACGACGCACGUAUUCUGUAAGGUGUUUAUCUAGUGAGUGGUAUGGAAAGCGAGGUAGUUGCGCUUUGUCAAUAAAUAAUUCAUGGUAAUCACGGUUUCAAGAAUGCGGAAAAUAAAAAAGAACGCGAAUUGGUGAUUAUUGAUUGUAUUUCUCGCAUCAAAAUGUAUCGAUGGAACGAAUAUGACAGGAUUAUUGUUCAUUGUACUCAUCAUGACUCAUGCGAUCGUAGAAUCGCACCUAUCCGCGACCAAUGAAAAACAAGGUACGUACUCUAAUUAUACAACGAUAUAAACUGCAAGUCUUCGUAUUGAGAAAACGAACAUUUAAUCCGAUUUUUUCUAUCUUUUCCAAUUUGCACAAGAAAUUUUAUGGGAAAUUUUCUUUUUGCGGCUACAUAUAGUUUAUUACAAAUUCGAGUAUGUAUUUUAACUAGUUGAAAUCUCAUGAUUUAAUAUGUAAAACACAGUCGAUACGAUCUAUCCUGAACCAAAUGUUAUUCGUGAUAUUAUUUGCUCUGGACGAUAAUUAUUACAUAAAACGCGCUUGGGUGAUUGUAAGAAGACAUUGAAAGAAGAAAAAUAUACUGUUUAUCGAAUUUGUACAAGUGACAGAUUGCAAUAACAAUAAAAUUAAUGUUUUGUCACA